rnacentral:sRNA from 1 species
AUAUCUCUCUGUACGGGAAGGAUGAGAAGCUUCGACUAAGGUUCGAUUCGAGCGCAGCGAGAAAGCGUUGCCGCAGGCAACGACCCGAAGGGCGAAGCGCGCAGCGCUGAGUAAUCCUUCCCCUACCACCA